rnacentral:rRNA from 1 species
AAUACGGAGGGUGCAAGCGUUAAUCGGAAUUACUGGGCGUAAAGCGUGCGUAGGCGGUUUAUUAAGUCAGAUGUGAAAGCCCCGGGCUUAACCUGGGAACUGCAUUUGAAACUGGUAAACUAGAGUAUGGUAGAGGAAAGUGGAAUUUCUGGUGUAGCGGUGAAAUGCGUAGAUAUCAGAAGGAACAUCAAUGGCGAAGGCAGCUUUCUGGACCAAUACUGACGCUGAGGUACGAAAGCGUGGSUAGCAAACAGGUUUAGAUACCCUGGUAGUCCACGCCGUAAACGAUGAUAACUAGCCGUUGGGGGGAUUUACCCUUUAGUGGCGAAGCUAACGCGUUAAGUUAUCCGCCUGGGGAGUACGGCCGCAAGGUUAAAACUCAAAGGAAUUGACGGGGACCCGCACAAGCGGUGGAGCAUGUGGUUUAAUUCGAUGCAACGCGAAGAACCUUACCUGGUCUUGACAUCCUGCGAACUUUCUAGAAAUAGAUUGGUGCCUUCGGGAACGCAGUGACAGGUGCUGCAUGGCUGUCGUCAGCUCGUGUCGUGAGAUGUUGGGUUAAGUCCCGUAACGAGCGCAACCCCUAUCCUUAUUUGCCAGCACAUUAUGGUGGGAACUAUAAGGAGACUGCCGGUGAUAAACCGGAGGAAGGCGGGGACGACGUCAAGUCAUCAUGGCCCUUACGACCAGGGCUACACACGUGCUACAAUGGGAUGGACAAAGAGUCGCGAAGCCGCGAGGUGUAGCUAAUCUCACAAACCUUCUCGUAGUCCGGAUUGGAGUCUGCAACUCGACUCCAUGAAGUCGGAAUCGCUAGUAAUCGUAGAUCAGAAUGCUACGGUGAAUACGUUCCCGGGUCUUGUACACACCGCCCGUCAUACCAUGGGAGUGGGUUGCACCAGAAGUGGCUAGUCUAACUUAGUGAGGACGGUCACCACGGUGUGAUUCAU